UACGUAGGUGGCAAGCGUUGUCCGGAGUUAUUGGGCGUAAAGCGCGCGCAGGCGGUGCGGUAAGUCUCUGGUGAAAGCGCUCGGCUUAACUGGGCGAGGGCCGGGGAGACUGCCACGCUGGAGGGGAGCAGAGGCGAGUGGAAUUCCGGGUGUAGUGGUGAAAUGCGUAGAGAUCUGGAGGAACACCAGUGGCGAAGGCGGCUCGCUGGGCUCUACCUGACGCUGAGGCGCGAAAGCGUGGGGAGCGAACCGG
rnacentral:rRNA from 1 species